AUAUCUCGCCAAAUGAAAAAGUUUUCCAUACAAGCACUACAUUCCGAUUGUCCAGUUUGUAUGACAGCUAUAUGCUAUGAGGUGCGAUAUGGAUCGUUUCGGCAAAUGAGCAGCUGCUUGUUGAGAAAAUGAUGGAGAAAUAUUUUUUUAAGCAGAUAAAUUUGCUGAUAUCAAUGAUAACAAAUUAUGAGAUUGAACAAAAUGAUAGAUUAACCUUUUGCUCUCACUGGCGCUCAUAUUUUCCACCGUCACACCACUGUGCGCCAACAACGAAUUCACCGAACCGCUUGUUUGCUAGUUCGAUGGCGAGACGCUCAAUAUAAGCGCGCGGCCAAUUAGAUAACAAGACAAAACGACGCACAACAACAACAGCAACAGCGGUGAGCCUAACAAAUGGCUAGAACAGAAAUGGAAAUUGAAUACCGAAACCGACGAACAACAAACAAAUAUAAUAGCAACAACAACAACAAUAAGUGCUUUGGUUGGCGGUAGCAGCAAACCAGUCAACUGACCAAGCAGCCGGACAACAAGAAAGCCAGCAAACCACAAGUGUGUGAACAUCAAAGGAUCUAGUAAUUGAACGAAUAAACCGGUGCGCGGCAAACUGAAAAUCAGCGGCAGUGCAAAAGACAGCAGCCACGCAAAUCAGCAAAAAAACUGAACAUGUGAAACACACCAGAGUUUUUUUCCAAACUUGCCACAAUUGUUGCGCAUCAUUUAUCAUGUGAACGCCUUGGCUGCGUGAAUUUUGUGAGAAAACUGCAGACUGG